GAAGUAUUAUACAAUAUUAGAACUUUUGAAAUCCAGAAUGCCCUUCAGUUAAUACAAGUGUUUGAAAAUGGGGAAUUAAGCGGAAACAAUAAUGUUAAAAGAUGUGCAAAGUUGAAGCGUUUAUGCUUGUGUGAUCUUCCAAAGCUUACGCACGUGUGGAAAGAAAGUAGUGAAGUCACCACAAUUAGCUUUGAUAGCUUGCAGUGGAUGGAGGUAACGGGAUGUGAGAAUUUGAAGUGCAUAUUACCAUCCUCAAUCACAUUCUUAAACUUGAUGUAUCUUUACGUCAAGAAUUGCAAUGGAAUGAUGAACUUGUUUAGCUCUUCAGUGGUAAAGAAUCUGAGGAAUCUCAAACACAUUGACUUAUCUGAUUGUAGAGAAAUGAUAUCUAUAGUAUCGGGAGAAGAAGAAAAUGGUGAAUCUGUUUUCCAAGAACUUUAUUUUCUGAGACUUCAUAAUUUACCAACACUGGCCUGCUUUGACACUACAAAAUAUAUGCUUAAGUUUCCAUCUUUGAAGAGAUUGGUCAUAGUUCAAUGCAACGAAAUGAAGACAUUUUCAGUUGGAAUAGUAAGCACACCCAAAUUGUAUUCCAUAAAUAUUGAAAGAAGAGACUUUAAAAUCUCACCAGCCAGGGACAUAAAUGUCAUUAUCCAUGACAUUUUCAAAAAACCCAACAGGUACACAAUUUUCUAUUACUACCCUUUUUUUAUUUGCUUAAAAUAUGAUUACAGUACAAAGACAAUACUUAUAUAAUCAGGAUGGAGGAAAGCCAGGACGACCGUGAAGAUCAACUCAACCUAUGAAAGACUUUCCACCACACGGUUAUAUCCUUAGGUUAUCAAAAUUGGAGAAGAGGAAAAUGUACUGGUUCUAUCCUUUAAAGGUGCAUUGUACUUUCGAAUAACCAUAUUCCAUGAAAGAGAAGCUGAAGUACUUUUGUAAUUGGAUUGAGAGAGAAGCUGUUACAAUGGAUUGCCUAACUUCUCAACUUUGGGGACUAUGCACAGAUCGAUUGUUGAACUUAAGUUUUGAGUAUCUUCUUUUUUGUUUCUUUUAAAACUUGCUCUAUUUUAAGACUUUGAUUGUGAAGAUAAACAUGUUAUCUGAUUUUUUGGUGAAAGUUAAAUGUGCUAGAUGUUAUAGGAACAUUCAUCUCGAAAGUAUUCAGUUGUGGAACUUUCCAACAAACAUUUGCUUGUACUCGAAUGGUUG